ACCAGGGGAAAUGUGCUCGUGUUCCUGGAAAUCCCCGAGAGGCCAGAGAGAAAUCAGCAAGGCCACGGCCAAGGCGGUGACGUUGGUUACCAUCUCGGGGCGGGUUUAAGGGGCACUUCCCAACUGCAGCCCUGAGACACCCGAAAAGCAGUCACUGGAAUACCAAGCGGCAUAGACUUGCCUUGGAUGGGGGAGGGUGACCCCCCGCCUCGGAGUCCUGUCUGUCCACAGUUUUCUCCUUCGGAUCUGAGUCAUCAUUCCGCAAAGCUGGAAAAGUGACCCAGAAGACUUCAUUGCAUUUGAAACUGCAGGGGAAGGAGGUUUCUACCCUGUUUCCAUGGAUAGUCUGUCUUUCCCCCAAAGGAGCGAACGGCAGUCUGGCUGCAAUUCCAGGAGGCUGACAAGGACUUCUUUACCCAUGGGCCAGGUGUCUACACUGCUGACAAGGACUUCUUUACCCAUGGGCCAGUCCAGUUCUGGUAUGAUUUCAGCAUGAUUGAGACAUGGCUUGGAUGAACAGUCUCCCUCGGGGCGCCCUUCCCUUCACCCCUUGUCUGUUGGACUGCUCACGUGUCCGGGGUAAGGAGAAGGCUUGGGGUGGGCACCCAACUCACCAUCUGCUCCUCAGGCUGCAUCUGCCUCUGCAGGACCUCAGAUUCCCCGUGACGCUGCUGCCUUCCCGAAGACUCCUUUAUCCGGCAGAAGGUGCAACUCCACGGGCUCCUGAGAGGUCGGGCGUAAGUGAGCAAGGGCCAGGCCCCUGGAAACAGCCCCUGUUCCCACGGUGGCCACCGUCCUCCUUUCAGGCAUGGCCGGUGGACACAGCUGGGAGAUGAAGGGGACACCUCCCAGAGUCUCCAAGACCCCAUGUGGGGCCUGAGCCCACGACCCUCCUCCCAUCAAGGCUGGCAACAGGGGGCUCAGUGCGCGGAGGGCUGUGUCAGGGUGAGUGGUGGGCUCUCCUUUCCCCACCGGAGUUGCUGGGAGCACAAGGCGCCCUGCCUGUCACACCCAAGUGUCAAAACUGGGCCUUCAGCCCUGGGGAUCCAGGCCUCUAUCAGCCGCUGAGCCCGUGGUAAAAUGCAUGAACCAGGCCACGCUUCCUGCCUUUUCUGAAAAAGCACAGAACACAAACAGCUUGUGUCCCCACCUCUGUGAACAGGAGCCCAGGCUGGAAAACUUGUUGAAGCAGUGUGAAAGCAAGGGAUCCAGCCACCAGCCUCAGCAUCCCAGCCUAAGCAAAGAACAGCAUUCUCUCGUGCUACCAGUGUCUUUAAACAGCUCUCUGGAUCAUACUGCUGGACCCCGUACGUCCGACCCUGCUCUUUCUCUGCCUGGACACAUAGGUUCCUCCUAUGGCAGGGGGAAGGCUCCCUAACUGGGGUGGGGGGGACUUCAUCUCACAAACCUCUCAGUUUCCACAGGUGGGAUGUGACAGUCCUCAUGAAAAGAUCUGGAACAAGUAUCACAGCAGAACAGCUGUCCUCCAUCCCGGCACGUCUCACACACAUCGGAGUUUCCCAGCUAGAAGGCGAAAGAAUGUCCGUACCCCUGGUGAGACCCCAGCAGGCCACCGCGAUGGGAAUCUAGAAUUCGCUGCCUUUGUGUGAACCUGCCUGGACACAUUUAUGCUUCUCCCCGAGGGAUGAAGGAGCAGCAUAGAGUGGAGACUUCAGAAGAAAUUGCCAUCUGCAAUGCUGCUCGGGGUGGGGGUGGGGGGCUUGUGUGUCAUACCAGAAAAGUUCUUCCUAUAAAACCAGAGAUCCUAACACAGAAAGACUAGCAGAAAAACAAGAAGAUGAUGUUAUAGGAACCUGAAUAAUAUUAUCACCUUGCAGAUAAGACAAGUCCCCGAAAUAAAGUGUUAAAUGCAUUUGCCUAUACCGCAAGAAGACAGACUCACAGGCGAAAUAUUGAGAAUUUAAUAGACGGGAUAAACUCCCUAAUGUGGAAAGUGAUAGAAGAUGAAAAGACAUUCAUUAACAAUUAUUUUGAGUCUUGUUUUGGGCUUUUGGUGAAAAUGCUUGCGUUGGGUGAAUUGGGUUCUGGCUAUUUCUUUUGUUGUUAAAAAUGGCUAUGCAUGAAGAGCUGCUAGCCCCAGUGAACAUCUAGCCAAAUACUCCCAUUCGGUGUUCCAAGGGAUCCUCAAGGACACCUCCAAUUGUGGCUGAGACUGCUCUGGCACGGAGCCAUGGGGCCAUUUUUCUUCUCAUCAGUGCAGACACUCAUAGAUUACUAUCAUCAGUCUCCAGGAAGUGAUGACCCCUCUCCCCAGAAGGACAAGGAAAUAACAAAUACAACCAAUGUUUAAGACUCCCAUAUGUAUAGUUCUUAACAGAUACAUCUGCUUGCUUCUUAAUCCAGCUGCACACUAAAAUCAUCCAGGCAGAGUAUGUAAAAUACUAAUGUCUUGGUCCCAACACCAGAGAUACUAAAUCAAUUGGUCUGGGUGGGAGCAGCCAUUGGUAUUCUUUUUUAUUUUAUUUUAUUUUAUUUUAUUUUAUUUUAUUUUUUUAUUUUAUUUUAUUUUAUUUUAAAGAUUUUAUUUAUGCGACAGAGACAGAGAUA